rnacentral:lncRNA from 1 species
UGGAUUUGUGGCGAAUUUUUAAAAAUCCGAAUCCGACUCCGAACCCGAAACCCAAAUCCAAUUCUUAACCCGAUAGAUUUUAAAAAUCAUUAUCCAAAUCCGAACCCGACCAAAAAAUUCGAAACCCGAACUCGAAACAAUUAUUUAUCUUUUCAAUAUUUCAAAAUAUAUUAUAUUAAAUCUUAAUUUUUAAAAUAUAAAUUCAAAUAUAACAUCAAAUUUUUAUAUACAUAUUAUAUAUAAUAAGAAAAUUUUCAAAUACCACUCUUAUGGUUUUGCACUUUCUCACUUUAAUAUUUUGUGAUUUAAAGUAUAUCACUUCUGUAUUCUGUGGUUUUAUUUUUUUCUUUUUGUUAUCAACUUUACUAAUUUUUUUCGUUAAAUCAGUGACAAAGUUAAAACUAAAGAGUACUAAAAUAAAUAUUCGAUAAAUUAUAGGCAGGAUAUUUAAAGUUUUUUGUAUAUAAUUUAAUGAAAAGUUAACGGAGUGGCUGACGAAAAGAAAAAAAUUGAAACCACAAGAUAUACUAAAUUGAUACCCCUUAAACUACAUAAUACUAAAGUAAAAAAGUACGAAACAACAUAAGUGGUAUUUGAAGUUUAUGUUAUAUAAUAUAAAAUAAAUUUGGGUUCUAGUUUGGAUUGGAUAUAGUUAAAAUUCAUAUCUAAAUUAAAUAUGCAUUAAUUUAAAUAUAUAAAGAAUCGGUUUGGGUUGGCACCU